CGGUGGAUGCCCUGGCAGUCAGAGGCGAUGAAGGACGUGCUAAUCUGCGAUAAGCGUCGGUAAGGUGAUAUGAACCGUUAUAACCGGCGAUUUCCGAAUGGGGAAACCCAGUGUGUUUCGACACACUAUCAUUAACUGAAUCCAUAGGUUAAUGAGGCGAACCGGGGGAACUGAAACAUCUAAGUACCCCGAGGAAAAGAAAUCAACCGAGAUUCCCCCAGUAGCGGCGAGCGAACGGGGAGCAGCCCAGAGCCUGAAUCAGUGUGUGUGUUAGUGGAAGCGUCUGGAAAGGCGCGCGAUACAGGGUGACAGCCCCGUACACAAAAAUGCACAUGCUGUGAGCUCGAUGAGUAGGGCGGGACACGUGGUAUCCUGUCUGAAUAUGGGGGGACCAUCCUCCAAGGCUAAAUACUCCUGACUGACCGAUAGUGAACCAGUACCGUGAGGGAAAGGCGAAAAGAACCCCGGCGAGGGGAGUGAAAAAGAACCUGAAACCGUGUACGUACAAGCAGUGGGAGCCUCUUUAUGGGGUGACUGCGUACCUUUUGUAUAAUGGGUCAGCGACUUAUAUUCUGUAGCAAGGUUAACCGAAUAGGGGAGCCGAAGGGAAACCGAGUCUUAACUGGGCGUUAAGUUGCAGGGUAUAGACCCGAAACCCGGUGAUCUAGCCAUGGGCAGGUUGAAGGUUGGGUAACACUAACUGGAGGACCGAACCGACUAAUGUUGAAAAAUUAGCGGAUGACUUGUGGCUGGGGGUGAAAGGCCAAUCAAACCGGGAGAUAGCUGGUUCUCCCCGAAAGCUAUUUAGGUAGCGCCUCGUGAACUCAUCUCCGGGGGUAGAGCACUGUUUCGGCAAGGGGGUCAUCCCGACUUACCAACCCGAUGCAAACUGCGAAUACCGGAGAAUGUUAUCACGGGAGACACACGGCGGGUGCUAACGUCCGUCGUGAAGAGGGAAACAACCCAGACCGCCAGCUAAGGUCCCAAAGUCAUGGUUAAGUGGGAAACGAUGUGGGAAGGCCCAGACAGCCAGGAUGUUGGCUUAGAAGCAGCCAUCAUUUAAAGAAAGCGUAAUAGCUCACUGGUCGAGUCGGCCUGCGCGGAAGAUGUAACGGGGCUAAACCAUGCACCGAAGCUGCGGCAGCGACGCUUAUGCGUUGUUGGGUAGGGGAGCGUUCUGUAAGCCUGUGAAGGUGUGCUGUGAGGCAUGCUGGAGGUAUCAGAAGUGCGAAUGCUGACAUAAGUAACGAUAAAGCGGGUGAAAAGCCCGCUCGCCGGAAGACCAAGGGUUCCUGUCCAACGUUAAUCGGGGCAGGGUGAGUCGACCCCUAAGGCGAGGCCGAAAGGCGUAGUCGAUGGGAAACAGGUUAAUAUUCCUGUACUUGGUGUUACUGCGAAGGGGGGACGGAGAAGGCUAUGUUGGCCGGGCGACGGUUGUCCCGGUUUAAGCGUGUAGGCUGGUUUUCCAGGCAAAUCCGGAAAAUCAAGGCUGAGGCGUGAUGACGAGGCACUACGGUGCUGAAGCAACAAAUGCCCUGCUUCCAGGAAAAGCCUCUAAGCAUCAGGUAACAUCAAAUCGUACCCCAAACCGACACAGGUGGUCAGGUAGAGAAUACCAAGGCGCUUGAGAGAACUCGGGUGAAGGAACUAGGCAAAAUGGUGCCGUAACUUCGGGAGAAGGCACGCUGAUAUGUAGGUGAAGCGACUUGCUCGUGGAGCUGAAAUCAGUCGAAGAUACCAGCUGGCUGCAACUGUUUAUUAAAAACACAGCACUGUGCAAACACGAAAGUGGACGUAUACGGUGUGACGCCUGCCCGGUGCCGGAAGGUUAAUUGAUGGGGUUAGCGCAAGCGAAGCUCUUGAUCGAAGCCCCGGUAAACGGCGGCCGUAACUAUAACGGUCCUAAGGUAGCGAAAUUCCUUGUCGGGUAAGUUCCGACCUGCACGAAUGGCGUAAUGAUGGCCAGGCUGUCUCCACCCGAGACUCAGUGAAAUUGAACUCGCUGUGAAGAUGCAGUGUACCCGCGGCAAGACGGAAAGACCCCGUGAACCUUUACUAUAGCUUGACACUGAACAUUGAGCCUUGAUGUGUAGGAUAGGUGGGAGGCUUUGAAGUGUGGACGCCAGUCUGCAUGGAGCCGACCUUGAAAUACCACCCUUUAAUGUUUGAUGUUCUAACGUUGACCCGUAAUCCGGGUUGCGGACAGUGUCUGGUGGGUAGUUUGACUGGGGCGGUCUCCUCCUAAAGAGUAACGGAGGAGCACGAAGGUUGGCUAAUCCUGGUCGGACAUCAGGAGGUUAGUGCAAUGGCAUAAGCCAGCUUGACUGCGAGCGUGACGGCGCGAGCAGGUGCGAAAGCAGGUCAUAGUGAUCCGGUGGUUCUGAAUGGAAGGGCCAUCGCUCAACGGAUAAAAGGUACUCCGGGGAUAACAGGCUGAUACCGCCCAAGAGUUCAUAUCGACGGCGGUGUUUGGCACCUCGAUGUCGGCUCAUCACAUCCUGGGGCUGAAGUAGGUCCCAAGGGUAUGGCUGUUCGCCAUUUAAAGUGGUACGCGAGCUGGGUUUAGAACGUCGUGAGACAGUUCGGUCCCUAUCUGCCGUGGGCGCUGGAGAACUGAGGGGGGCUGCUCCUAGUACGAGAGGACCGGAGUGGACGCAUCACUGGUGUUCGGGUUGUCAUGCCAAUGGCACUGCCCGGUAGCUAAAUGCGGAAGAGAUAAGUGCUGAAAGCAUCUAAGCACGAAACUUGCC
rnacentral:rRNA from 1 species